UCUCAGAUUCUUCACUUUGACUUAAUUGAUCUUCUUCUAAGUUAGAGGAUUCUGACUUAGUUGUUAAAAAUAUAUUUGUUAAGUUCUCUUUUAUGGAGUUUAUUAAGUCUGAUUCAUCAACCUCCAUAUUAUUUAUUUUAUUUUUUAGAUGAUAUUUGAUGCUAUAAUGACCUAUUCAGCCACAUUUAUAGCAAAUUGGUAGAUUCUCCUUUUUAAUGAAUGGUUUUACUUUCUUCUGUGGUUUCAUCUUCUUUUGUUUAGGAAAAGUAUUUUGCUUUUUGAUUAAUUUUUGUGAGGGCCAAUUUAUUUUUGGAGUUUUUCUUUUUUUGGUAUUUUUUACAAGAGCUAUAUUUUCUAAAUCAUUUUUUUAUCAUACUUGAUUGAUUGUAGCCCAAAUUGUUCACAGAAACUUCCUAACUCUUUUCUACUAGUAAAUUAUUCUUUCUUUAAUUGUUGUUUUAGUCUUAGUUACAUAGCAAUAGUCCUUCUUCAUUAAUUAUGUUUAUUAAAUCACCAUAUGUUAAUCUAUCAUAAGAAAUUUUUUCAUUAUGUUGAUUUCUUAAUUUAGUUCUUAUCUUUUCUGAAAAGACUGUUGGUAAUCCUGCUAAAAAUUUUUCUUUCUAGAAUGAUUAUUACAAUCAUCUCU
rnacentral:lncRNA from 1 species